rnacentral:tRNA from 1 species
GGAAGCGAAUGGAGUCUGGUGGCUUCCGCGGCCUUCAAAGCCGUUGCGGGGCGCCGGAAGGCGUCCUGGCUGGGUUCGAUCCCCAGGCGCUUCCGCCA